GACGAACGCUGGCGGCGUGCCUAAUACAUGCAAGUUGAGCGAUGAAGAUUGGUGCUUGCACCAAUUUGAAGAGCAGCGAGCGGGUGAGUAACGCGUGGGGAAUCUGCCUUUGAGCGGGGGACAACAUUUGGAAACGAAUGCUAAUACCGCAUAACAACUUUAAACAUAAGUUUUAAGUUUGAAAGAUGCAAUUGCAUCACUCAAAGAUGAUCCCGCGUUGUAUUAGCUAGUUGGUGAGGUAAAGGCUCACCAAGGCGAUGAUACAUAGCCGACCUGAGAGGGUGAUCGGCCACAUUGGGACUGAGACACGGCCCAAACUCCUACGGGAGGCAGCAGUAGGGAAUCUUCGGCAAUGGGCGAAAGUCUGACCGAGCAACGCCGCGUGAGUGAAGAAGGUUUUCGGAUCGUAAAACUCUGUUGGUAGAGAAGAACGUUGGUGAGAGUGGAAAGCUCAUCAAGUGACGGUAACUACCCAGAAAGGGACGGCUAACUACGUG
rnacentral:rRNA from 1 species